AUCAAGGCCACUUUGCUCUCCUUGUGGGCUCCGUAGGCUCCCAACACGGUAAUCAUCACCGUGAUGCAGCCCACAAUGAAGAGAAUGAAGAGUUUGGUGGUGCGACCCUCCAGCUGUGGACAGAAGUGUAAUGAAAAGAACUGGCACCACAGAGCGAGGACGAUGGCCACUCCACCAACAACCUGAACAAACACAGUCUGGUUAGAGCUGCUGGAUCCUUUAAACACAACCAGGACAUGAAAUGACUGCACAGCCACACAUGUGGACGAGCGCAACAACAAACUCUGAAAAAUAUGUUGAAGACGGUGAAGAUGCGUUUGAGGCAGAUGUUGAUCUGAGCCAUGUUUGCAGCUGGAAAAUGCAGUCAAAAUAACAGUACUGUUCCCAAAGUCCAGACGAGCUCCGACUGCAGCGAAGUGAAGUGAGA